UGUUGAAAUACCAGUUACCAUACGAUCACUGGAGUUAAGCAACAACAAACCUGGUCAGUACCUAGAUGUGUGACUGCUUGGGAAUACCAGGUGCUGUAAG